GUCGCCGAACCAACAUGCGUGUACCCCACCGACUGACGGCUCAUUGUGUCUGAGUGAGCCGGUGGUAAACCUACGCCCCCUGAACCGGACUGCGGCUGCGUUCACGGCCCAACGUUUUUAAAAAUUGACCCUCCUACGUUGACAGAUAGAAAGACAAGCUGGUCAACUCUUUCAGGCUUGAGACAUGACCUCUUCGAUGUCACCAUGUUGCCACUCGCACCGAAGAUCCGCUCAGAUGGAAAACUAGUCGCGGGGAUGCACAGGUACAUGUUGAGCUCCAGUUCAACAGAUGCUCGGCUCGGCUUUGACGUGUCUUGGCCGUUAUGUGCUGCUGCGUUCUUGAAGUAGCUGGACAAACUCUUCUUUACUUUCUUGGCUGCUGGGAG